UACAGAGGUCCCAAGCGUUGUUCGGAUUCAUUGGGCGUAAAGGGUGCGUAGGCGGCGGGGUAAGUCAGGUGUGAAAUCCCGGAGCUCAACUCCGGAACUGCACUUGAUACUACCUUGCUAGAGUACUGGAGAGGAGACUGGAAUUUACGGUGUAGCAGUGAAAUGCGUAGAUAUCGUAAGGAAGACCAGUGGCGAAGGCGAGUCUCUGGACAGUUACUGACGCUGAGGAGCGAAAGCGUGGGGAGCGAACAGG
rnacentral:rRNA from 1 species